rnacentral:tRNA from 1 species
CAUUAGAUGACCGAUGCAAGUUCUGGUCUCUUAAACCAUUUUAAAGUAGGUUAGCAACUACUUCUAAUGA